rnacentral:rRNA from 1 species
AUUGAACGCUGGCGGCAGGCUUAACACAUGCAAGUCGAGCGAGCGGCGGACGGGUGAGUAAUGUCUGGGAAACUGCCUGAUGGCGGGGGAUAACUACUGGAAACGGUAGCUAAUACCGCAUACCAUCAGAUGUGCCCAGAUGGGAUUAGCGAGUAGGGGGGGUAAUGGCUAACCUAGGCGACGAUCCCUAGCUGGUCUGAGAGGAUGACCUGCCACACGGGAAUGGAGACACGGUCAAGACUCCAACGUGAGGCAGCAGUGGGGAAUAUUGAACAAUGGGAACAAGCCUGAUGCAGCCAGGCCGCGUGUGUGAAGAGGGCCUUCGGGUUGUAAAGCACUUUCAGCGAGGAGGCGUUACUCGCAGAAGAAGCACCGGCUAACUCCGUGCCAGCAGCCGCGGUAAUAC